AUAACCGUUAUUAUAAACUGAAGUAGGCUACAGUACCGACAAAUUAGGCAGAAUGCAAAUACGACGCGAUGACGUCAUUAAUAUGCUAAUGACGCAUGACGUCAUCUGGCGACAUUUAGCUACUUUUCGAGCAGGCUUUAGCUACUUUCCAUUGAAAAUAGUUGGCAACACUGGACAGUUCUCAACAGCUGAGGAAUUCCACUAUUCAAUGUUCUCCGUGCUCUGCCGUCGAAUUUCUUUGCUUGGUUAAAGAUUUCGUAAUAAUUAUUUUCUUUUUUUCUAGGAAUCAUUCACUUGAUAAAUGUUUUACUGAGACAGUACCAGCCCUAAUCUUUGGGAGUGCAGACAACUGUACUGAACGCUGGAUGAUUACCCUAGAGGGUCUUGUUGUUUGUGAGGGCAUACAACCAAGAUUUGUGACUGCAAUAGCAACAAUGUUUGCUAUGUUCUAUGUCUUCAAUCUUCAGUAUCCAGAGGAGGCAUGUGGCACAUUGGAAUUCAUUCAAAGACGAUUCGUUGGGAUAAACCCUGAAAGAGGUUCGAAGACCUGCAGAAGCAAGGUGGUUUCAAAGAAUACGGGAAAACUUGUCAGCAAGAAGUCUGCCACUGUCAAUCCCAAAGUUGCUUCUCUCCUAAAGAACUCAUCGAUUUCGAAUGGGAUUUCGUCUAGACCUGGAUUUCCCCUCAGACCACAUGUCAAAAGCUGAUGUGGGACAUGUUGGCUGUUUUUCGCCUCUUCCUACGUUGGGUUCUCUUGAUUAUGUCCCAGACUUCUUCUCUGGCAUGGUUGCUGAGGUUGGCUGUUUUUGUUUGUUCGUUUGUUUUACCUCUUUGUAAGGUUUCUGUUUUUGGAUCCUCUCA